GAAUUCAAAUUCAAACCGUUCACUAAUUGAAACCGUUCUUUUCCACUUCUUGCAUCUCUUUGUGUUCCAAAAUAUUCGCACCUCUAAUUUUUUGAUAACUGUUCUCUCUUUCUCUCUCUUUUUUUUGUUUCUCUUUUUGCAGGUUUUCAUAGAUUUUCGUUCAUGAGAUUUUUGGCACCAAGUGCAGGCUAUUUGUGGGUAAUGGGCAGUGGAAGGAGUAAUGCAAUGCGAGAAAAAGAUGAACUUAUUUCUUUUAUUUUUUCGUCUUAUACACUCUUUAAAAACCUACAUAUUUUCUUCUUCUUCUUUUGUUUUGAUAUGCUACAUCUUUUUCUAGAAAAAGAAUAACGUAUUUUCUCUUUUUUCAGGCUAUUUAUAUGGAACGGGCAUUGGGACAAGUAAUGCAAUGCGAUUAAUGCGUAUAGAAAAAGAAAGUUGAUCUGUAUGGAUAAUAUAAUUCUUUUACCCUUGCCUUGCAAUUAAUGCAUAUAGAAGAAGAUUGAAGCUCAUUUAUAUGGACAAUAUUAUUCUUUUAUCCUUCCCCUGCAAUUAAUGUGUAUUGAAUCUAUUGAUAAAAGCAAAAUAUUUUCCCUCUUCCCCUUUUUUCAUCA